UCUCCGUUGGUGAACCAGCGGAGGGAUCAUUACAGAGUUUAACGACUCCAAACCACCGUGAAAACACCCGUCUGUUGCCUCGGCGGGACGCGCGGGGGGUUUGAGGCUCUCGCGGGCCUCGCCCCGGGGCGGACCGCCGGCGGCCCCACUCCACUCUUAUGUAAGCGGCACUGCCUGUCUGAUUAUACUGUUACCGAAAUGGAAAACACAACUUUCAACAACGGAUCUCUUGGCUCUGGCAUCGAUGAAGAACGCAGC
rnacentral:misc_RNA from 1 species